UUGGGCGUCAUUUUUUUAUCACUGAUUCGACUUUGAUAGAACUUGGGUACAGGAGGAGUUUUCAUUUGUUGAUAAAACAUUUCGGCUUCUGUCGGUGACAUGGGCCCAGCUAGCGCUUGAAGCAUCAUCUGAGGCUCAACUGGGGCGAGUUUGGCAUCAAAGGCUCGUCUGGUGAUUUUAGUGUGACAUCGGGUGACCAAGGCUUUCCAACACGAGCAGGUGACGAAAAAUCUGAGGGUCGCAAAACUGGUAUAAAAUACCUUUGACUCAGAAGCAACUUCAUUUGAGCUUCUAAUUCUGGCGAAGGAUUCUUACAAGAUGAACAAACAAUCUAAAGAAAUUAAAUCUAUCAUUCGACAUGUUGGAAAUUUGGAAAGUGUGUAAAAUUGAAUAAAAUAUUAUAAUUACGUCA